rnacentral:lncRNA from 10 species
GUGAAGUUGACAGCAGGAUUGCAGAAGUGGGAGGACCCAAGAAAUACUGACGAACCAGCAGAGUAGAAGAGUGUCUGCUUUCCCAUAAUCUUCCAUCACAGGGAAUUCAUUUCAGUUUUUAACCUUCACCAAUUUGAUGGCCAAGAAUGGAACUUACUGUGUGAUACUGGUACAGUUGAAUUUAAACUCUUAUGUUUAUUUUCC